CGUUGUAUGGUGUAAUGGUUAGCACGUAGGAUUUGAUUUCCUGAGACCUGGGUUCGAUUCCCAGUACGACCU
rnacentral:tRNA from 1 species